UACGUAGGGGGCAAGCGUUGUCCGGAUUUAUUGGGCGUAAAGAGCUCGUAGGCGGUUCCGUAAGUCGAGUGUGAAAAAUCUGGGCUCAACCCAGUGGAGCACUCGAUACUGCGGUGACUAGAGUACGGUAGAGGAGUGUGGAAUUCCUGGUGUAGCGGUGAAAUGCGCAGAUAUCAGGAGGAACACCGGUGGCGAAGGCGGGUCUCUGGGCCGAUACUGACGCUGGGGAGCGAAAGCGUGGGGAGCGAACAGG
rnacentral:rRNA from 1 species